CAGGUUAAAACAGGCGUGCAAAUUAUUUUUGUUAAAUUUUGAGUUUAGCUCAUCGCUCCAAAAAUCCAUUUAGAUUUGUAAAAUCUUAUCUAGCUUUGUCUUACCAUUUAGAUUCUGAGCGCAAUUCAUCAUUUAAAAACCAUAUUAUAAAGUGAGAGGACAUAAGUUAAAUAACAUAAGCUGUCAAGCAGUGUCUUUAGUUAAUGUAGUGCAUGGUUUUUCCCAAAAGGAAGACAGAGAGUAGAAAAGGUUCACCAUAUGAGCUGAUGCAUCAAACCCAGUCAAGGUAUACUGACUCAUUAGAAGCCCCAAAAGAAAUAUGUAAGGUCUGCUGCUGAUUCCCUCUCCAUUAUCAGUAUUGAAAUAAGUGAAAACAAACUUGGCACUUGCUCUUUCCGUUGCAACGGAUGGAAUCACAAUCGUAAGUACAAAAACACCUAAAAGUUUGCAAUUCCAAUAAGAGAUUCAGAAAGGGUUGCCAAUGAAAACCGAAUGCAGAAAAUACUAAAUAAAUCUGGAAUUUUCUUCGUACCUAAAACAUUCCAAAUAGCUGCCAUUUGUCCCAAGAAUGACAACAACGAGAUCGGAAGGCUGUUUAUUAUACCGUGUACGAGCAAGAUUCCCCCAUGGAGAGCAAUAACUACAUAUUUAGAUGCCUCAUAUCCACCGCCAUUUUUCCCACCAGUACUCAGCAGAAUAAUGACCUGAAUCAGUUGUGCAAGUGAAAAAUCUACGCUUGUUGUCACUGCCCACUGAAAACGAAAAGAAACCAAAAGUUUAAGCUUGAAAUGAAUUAACAUAGGUCUAUAUCCCAUACAAGUUUAGACCUUGCAGUGAAAUUGAAGGAUGUUUAAAUUAUAGAAUGUGCCUUCUUAAGAAUACCUGGCCCACAAUAUUGAACCUGUAAAACAGAUAAACCAUCCAACAAGCAUCAGACAAAAAUAUUGCAGAGUAUCUUGUUAUAAAACUUUACACGUUGAUCAGGCAAUAACAUUUUCAAGCUAUACGGCAUAUUAAGGCAGAACACUAGGCAUCUGAGGUGAAUUAUGUCUUAAAUUAUCGAAAACAUGGUUGAACAUUUUACGUCAUAAAAUUGAGAAGUAAAUGAAAAAUUUAUGCGCCAUUAAUACAACUCUGAAAUCUGUAUUGGAAAAUAUUAAAACAGUGAACAUAGGAAAGAAUAAGGAAUUAGUGACUGGCUUAAAGAUAAAUUUUAAAUCUAACUCAAUUCCACAAAACCAAGAUGUAAGGUGAAGUUUAAAUCCACCUUUUUAUAUAUAUAUAUAUAUAUAUAUAUAUAUAUAUAUAUAUAUAUAUAUAUAUAUAUAUAUAUAUAUUAUAAAUUGACUUUAUUAUUAGUUAAUGUGACAUUUCCAAUAUUACUAUUUAUGCUACCAAUUUUUGGUAAGUAAAAUGGCAUGUAGUUUGUCCAAACAAGAAUAGUGAAAUACUACUAUUACAAUAUAUAUAAAAAAGAAGAAGAAGAACCUACAAUUAUUAUCCUCAAAAGUCUCUUGUGUAAUCCUUAAUGAUUAAAUGAGAAUUAUUCUUUUUCAUCUCUUAGUGUUAAAUUAGAUAAAUCUUACAAGUUGCAAGGAUAAGAAAUUGACUUUUAAACAUAACUCAAUUCUACAAAACUGAUUUAUAAAACGAUAUUUGCACAUAUUCAUAUAUUAUAAACAGUUUUAUUAAUAUUCAAUACAAAACUUCUAACACAUCUCUCACUCGAAGUAUAUAUAUAUAUAUAUAUAUAUAUAUAUAUAUAUAUAUAUAUAUAUAUAUAUAUAUUUAACAUAAGACGAAAUAUUAAUAGGUGGCCAGAUAAUGGUUCAAUGACGAAUGAAAUAAUAAAUCUAAUCGUAUACUGAACAAAUAAAAAAUCUCACUAAAAUAAACUUUGAAUUACUAAGUGACACAAUAAAUUGAACAAAAAACAAAUCUCAUAAAGAUAAACUUUAAAUCAUAACUCUAAUAUGAUAUUAAGAAGAAAAUUUUUAAACUCAAUUCAAUCUUACAAAAUCGACUAAUAAUAUAAAUUUUAUAUUUACUUAUAUAUUAUUACUUGUCAUAACAAGAUUGUCAAUAAAAAUUAGCAAAAAUUUUGGAUAGACAAAUUUUCUAAAAAAAAGAAAAAUAAAUAAAUAAGUUUUUUUAAAAUUUAAAAUAUAUUGCUGGAGUUAAAUUUAUUUUAUAAAAAAAUUAUUUUAAUCUAUUCACAUCUAUCGUAGAUCGACUUAUGAGAGAAUUAUUAAAAAAGAAUUUAGAUUUCCAGUUUAUCACUUAUCACGAUGCGCACAGAACCAUCUCUCAGGUUCCUAGCGGGAUAAUCAAAAUCCAAGGGUUACCACCAACCAGUCAACGCUUCAUAAAAAAAAUGUGUGAUGGUAUCCUUCUCCACGUGGGAAGUGUCAGGCAUCAUAAAUUACAUUUACUUCAGGCAUAUAUUGAAUUAUGCAUACAACAUACAAUAAACUUUUAGAUGUAUCAACAAAGCACCACAACUAAGUAUUAAAAAUUACCCUGAAAUAGUGUUUUUACAAAUCUUCGUCAAAAGAGAGUGUAAAAUAGUUUCUUUAGACAGAAGAACAUCUUAAAUACUUAUAACUUAUUUUUCUUGUUAUAUAUCUUCUUAGUCAUACUAAAUAUAAAUGAAUAGAACAUGAACAAAAAGUCAUACUAAAUGAAGAAAAUUAAAUUACUAUUUAUGUUUCCCUAUAAUACAUACUUACUAUGUUUCAACCACUACCUUUUCAAAUAUCACAUUAAAAUUAACAUACACUUUUAUUUUAUCCACUUUUUUACAACUACAAAUUUAUCUUAAAAAGUGACUACUAUUGUUUUAGACCCUAAAAGUUUCAGCCUAUAGACAUUUUCAGGAAAAGCAGAAAAUGGGUAUAUUAACUUUAGGGGAACAUUUUUUUUUACAGACAACUUUACUUGUAAUGAAAAAAACUUCUAAAGAUUAAAGCAACUUUUAUUUCGAGCAUCAAAUAUGUCUUCAUUCAUAUUUAUAAUAUAAUUAAGAGAUUUGUCAAUUUUUGUAAAUAAUAAGGUGCGUAAAAUAAUUCACAAAAAUAAUCUUUUUGAAAUCUGUAUAGCAACUAUAUGAUAUUAUAUCUCUCAAAUUAACUCGUAUUUAAUAGAUAAUGAAGACUGAGCCACCCGUGCCAAAUACGGAACGACACCUAGAAACGAAUCCAGAAUCAUUCAUAUCGAUGAGAAGGACAAAAUCAACCGAAAAGAAAAUGAGAGGGUAGGUAUGGGUGAUUCUGAGGAAACAAAUUUAAAAAACAGAAUGAUACUAAUUAUAGUGCUGCAUAUAUGAUGUGCCUUUGUCAUUCAUUGAUUCAUUCAUCUUAGCAUAAUAAUAUCAUGCGGUUAGGAGAAAAACUAUUUAUUUUUGCAUUGAGAAUCAGAAAAUAAAACUAUUGAAUUGAAGAUGUUAUAGUUAAAUUGGGGAAAAUAAGUUAAGGGAAUUGGGUAUGAUACCAGCCGGUGAUCCAUGAAGCGAAGGGAGCCCAUCUGGGCCCAGCAAGCUUGGCGCUCCAAUAGUAAAGCCCACCGGAGGUGGGAUAGGACGAGCAAAUCUCUGCCAUUGGAAGCGCCACAAUCAUGGUGAAAGCAGAGGCAAUGAACCAACCAUAGACUAAGGAAACAGGGCCGCCAUACUUCAAUCCAGUGUUGUAAAGAGUAGUAACUCCGGUGAGCACCGAAAUAAUAGAAAACGAAAAGGCAAAAUUCGAUAUCACCCUGUCACAGUUCAAAGCAAGAUUUAGAAAAAAAAAAAAAAGUGUAGUGAAAACACGGGAAGAAGAGAAAAGAGAGAAGAGAAAUAUACGAAAGAUCACGCUUGAGUUCUUGUUUGUAACCGAGUUCUCUGAGACGGGCAUGGCCAGAAUCAAGUGGAGCGUGUCCACUUUCGACCACAUCAGAAGGGAUUACUUUUUCAGAGGCCAUUAUGAUUGAUGAAGCUAUCACAGAGACUCCCCGUGGUCAAUGGAGGCUGCUCCAGAAAGAAGAAGAUGGGAGAAUGUGUUUCUUUCUCUUUCUCUUUCGCUUCUCUCCUCGACUCCGUUUUUAUUUUUCUUUCCAUUUAAUAUCUCUCUCAUUUCAUUAUUUUCUAAUGUUAUUGGUCUUUUUUUUUUUCUUUCUCCAUAAUUUUGUUUCUACUACUAAAUAAUACCAUUGAUGAAUGAUGCAUAUAGAAUUAGCAAUAUAAUUACGUAUUGUAUCAUGUAGAAAUUUAAUAACAAAUUUACAUGAAUGAUUUACCAUCCUACUUUUUGUAGAUAGAGAAAAAAUAGAACAAAAUAGAAAUGUUUGCAACAAUUUUAUUGGAAUAAAUGAAAUUCAUUGUAUUUCUUGUUUUCUUCAAAGCAGCCUUAAAUAAAAUUAUUGAAGGGUAAAUAAGUCAUUCAAAAUAUAAUUUAUUAAAAUAAAUAUAAUUAUCCUAUUAAUUUUUAUACGAGGUAUUAACAUACUAUUAGGUUUUUUGUUAUUCCAUUGAGGGUUCGCUUCCCGUGUCAUUCACAAGAAAAAUUUAAUAAUACUAUACUUGACUUUAAAAAAAGUAAAGAAAUGACUUAGAACGCCAAAAAUUUGAUGAGAUGCUAAAGACAAAAAUAUAAAAUAGUUUAGAGAAAAAACAAUAGUAAACUCUUUUUUAAUCUACCUGAUUAACUCGAUGUCCAUGCCUUAUUAUUUUAAUUUGAUCCGUAAUUAACCUUUUACAAAACCCGAGGUGAGCUAGUCGUAUUAAUUUUAUUAAUGACAGUUACAAAUAUAUAUUAAUUUAUCGACUCUAGAUUCGUUAUGAGUUUGAACGUGGAUUCGUUUCUAUUGGAAAAUCAUUUUUUUUUUGUUUUUUCUUUUGAAUAAAGAGAUAAUUUAAUGGAAAAUUAAAAGUCUACUUGACUAUUGUAAUAUUCUUAAUGUGAAACAAAGGGACACACACAAAGGUGCAUGUGUUAUUUCUAUUUGAUUUCUUUCUAGUCUUAGCUAUAUAUACGGAUCUUUAUGUUAUAAAAGAAAUAUAUGGUUCCAAUUAUUAAAUGUAAUGGUCAAAUAGUAAUAUACCUCUUUAAUUUUACGUAUGUAGAUGUAAAGAAUAAGAAAUAUUUUGCAUUAAAAGAAAAUUAAUAUAUUAUCUCUAUGCAAAAUAAAGAAGACUUAACUUCAACAUUUAACACGUCCUAAGUAAUAUUAGUUGUGGAAUGUGAAUCUAAAACCUAAGAAGUCGAAGAUAUGAUGCUUACAACAAUUAGUUAUUUUAUACUUAACAUUUUAUCACAAAAUUACUAAUAAUUCACAUGGCUUUCAAUCCACUGGUUAUUUUAAUAUAGUAGACAUUUUUUCAUACAUAAUUUAAAUCAAAUGCGAUUUAUACAUUAUACAGAUCAUACUUAUAAUGUUUAUUUUUAGUAUUCUACAGUGCUGAUAAAGUUUUAUAUUGUUAUUUUCGAAGCAACAUACGUGGAUAGGAAAUUAAAUAAAUAAUUAACAGAAACCACAAAAUCAAACAACAAGAUUAAAAAGAAAACGAAAAUAAUCACAUUUAAAUAAAAAAGUCAAGGGUAGUCAAUUUACACUGAUUUAUUCUGAUACUCUUUUAACUCAUAAGUAUAUUUCAUAAAAAAUAUUCAAUCAAAUAUUUUAAAAUGGUAUAAAAGUUUUGUUUGUGUAUACUAUUUAUUUAUUAAAAGAUAUCAUUGAUAAAAGUUUUUUAUUUUUAUAUCUGAGCUUUAAUUAUAUUGUUUUUUAUGAAUACAAAACGACAAGUUUAGAAUUUUAAAAUUUACUAUGGUAUAACGACAAUCAUUCAUGAUAAAAUCAGAAUUUAAAAAUUUACUCAAUUUUACAAAAUUAAUUUUAUAUGUACUUAAUAUGUGACUUUGAAUAUAUUUCUCUUAUCAAAUGGAUAAAAUGGUAAUUUAUUAAGAAGUAGAAUAAUGAUUUAAAUGAAUAUCAAAUUUCGUUAUAAUAAAUUUUAAUAAUAAUUGUAAUAUUAUAUCAAGAAUAAAUCUAAUUCAAUUAUAUAAAACUGAAUUAUAAAAUGAGAUUUAUAUUUAUUUAUAUAUUUUAAAUUAAUUUUAUUUUAUUAAAUUUUAAAAUUUUAACCAUUUAUUUAUAUGAACUCAAUAACAAAAGGUUUAGAUAACCAAGAGUUUUUAAAUAGAUAAUAACUAUCAGAAAAUUAAAUGUUAAUCAUUUGUUGUAUAAUUGCUGAAGUAAUAAGUUCUUUUGUCUUAAAUUUAAACUAUCUAAUAAUAUUUUAUCGGAUGAGAUGGUCACUUUAGUAAUCUUUAUUUUUACGAGGAGUACUUACUUGGUUAUGCAUUUUUUUUCGUAUUUUUUAAUUAUUAUUUUUUUAAACUAUAAAUUUACAGAAAGAUUCAUCAUAUAAAAAAUUAUCUAAAAUUUUUUACUCUGUUAACUAGUAAUAAGAGAAUUUGGAAAAUGAAAAACGUAAAUUGUAAUUCAAAUAAAUAGAAACAUUAAAGUUGAAGAAAGUUUGGAAUUAUAUGUCAAAUUUGAUAUCAAAAUCGUAAAUAAUAUAUUUUUAUUUAUGGUCGAUUUCCACAAAAUUAUCUGUGGCUCAUAUCUGUCCACCAGCUACCUGCAUCUAAAGUAAUGUACUUCUUUUUUUCCUAUAAAUCAAAAACAUUACAGACAUGUUUAAACCGUUCCAUAAGCAGAAAUCUUAUGGUUGUUAGCCGACAGUUAGGUUAAAUAAAAAUUAAUGUUAAAAAUAAUUAGUUAAAGUUAAGUAAGAUUAUUAUUAAAUGGGUUAUAAAUCUAUUUUAAAAUUUAUAAUAUAAAUUUAAAAUAUUGUAUUAAAUUAGUUAUACUCAUUAUCCAUUUAUUACUAUUAUUACUAAAUUCUUAUAUAAGAAAAAAAGUUGAUAUCGAUCCCAAAAAUAUUGAUACAAUACCUUUACUUGACUAUUAUAAAAUCUUAUUUACUUCAACUAAAUAUAUAAUAUUAAAUUUAUAUGAGCUAAAUUCUUAUCAGAAAAUCACAAAUUUGUUUCCAGAAAUUGGACUACACAAUUUUGCAUUGGGUGAGAGCUUAAAAAAAUAUUUUUAAAUGAACUGGUUUUAGUUAGAUAAUAAUAUUGUUUAAAUGGUUUUAUGCUGCAAGCGAUCUUGUCGUAAAUUUUAGGGUAAUUUGUUCUGACUCGAUGCAAAAACUAGUUUUACCUAACAAUAACCUAACUUUAUAAUUAUAGAAAUAGAAGAAAAAUCUAAGCUAAUAUUAAUUAUCGUUAUUUGUACGUAGAACUAAAAUCAUUGAGAACCGAGAAAAAAAUGAUUGGCUGGACCACGUGCCAAUUUUCUUGGUACUUGUCUUCCCCACUUCAUUCAAAAUUUCAAACAUGUGGUGAUCAACAAACACCAUUUCCUCUUUCCCCUAACUCAAUAAAUUCACUUUUCUUAUAAUUUAUUAUUUAAAUAAUAUUCAUAUAUGUAUGUUUUUAAUCAAUUUUAUCAAUAUUUUUUUAAAAUAUUUUUUACGUAUAAGGAAUUGUCAAGCAAAACUCCAAUAAAUAUAUUAACUUGUAUAUGACGGUAAUUAUUGAUAACUUGGUGAAUUGUAUACAUUGAAAUUAGAUGGGUCAAAUUAAAUUUUGAUAAGUAAAAUAAGUAGAAACUUGUACAUCGUUAACAUAAUUUUUAAUUCAACAUCUCAAAGCAUUUAAUUUGUGGAUUUUUGUCUUAUAUGAUAUUUAUGAAUAUUAUUUAUAUUUCAUAGUUUUUUUUAUUGUUAUUUAAACUCUUUGAUGAUUAUAUUAAGUAUAUGACUAAAUAAAAUUACAAAUUUAAAAACUAAACCUUAUUUUAAAAUUGUAAAUUUCUCAAUUUAAGUAGCCUAUUUAUGGUAUGAGAAUUAUAGUGACACUGUAGUUAUUACCAUUGAUAGAGUUUGACAUAUAUGUUCCUAUAUUUUUCAUAUAAGAAAAUUACGAAUGAUAUUCUUCCAUCAAAGCUUUGACUAUCAUUUCAUUUCACUAUUAAUUUUGCAUUGACAUUAGGCAAAUGAUGGCGAAUCAUACCAAUGUCAACACCAAAAAGUUAGGCAUGUUCUCCACCAGCCUAAAAAUUUAAGCAACAUUUUUUGACUUUGUAGUCUUCUUUUUCAAAUACAAAACUUCACUUGUUUUUUUGGAGUUAUAUUUACAUAAAUAAUAAACUAUUAUUUUAAUGAGCUAUGAUUAAAACAUAUUGUUAAUAAAUUUGUUGAAAAUAACUAAUUAUACUUAAAUGCAGUAAAAAAUAAGAAAAAUUAAGUUUAAAACUGAAAGAAAUAAAAUUGAUUAAAGAUAUCAUACUAAAAAUAUUCAAUUUACAUGGACCAGGAAUAAUAUUAUAAAGACUAAAAAUAUAAAGGAAAAUAAAUAUCAAUCUAGGAUUCUAUAAAGAAUCAUAUUGCAAACGAAACUUCAUUUUUUUUUUUUUAUAUAUUAGUAACUGGGCCUUUAAACCAACGACGACCACUGAUAAUCCAGUAAGAAACUACAAAAGUAAGCAAACAUGCAACAACAACAGGGGUGUAGUUAAGCUUCUCUGCGGUUAUUGGGUAGGAAAAAGGCAAUGAGAAGAGUAUGGAAAUGGUCAGCACCCAAAGAACAGCAACCCAGCCCACGAUAACUCCGUAACGGCCCAAGUUGAAAGGCCCAGGAACGAAAUGCUUUCGUGCCAAUGUCACCCUAAAGAAUAUGGGAAAGGCAUAGGCAAUAUAGAGACCAAUGGUUGCCAUGGACACCAUGGCAUGAAAAGCGACUAUGCUUCCAAGAGACUGCAAUGUUUUUACAUUUCACAUUAUAAUGGUUAAUCAUAUCAUUCCACUUUCAACAAAUCAGAGAAAGCAAAGUUUGCACUUACCGUUAAUGCCAUGCAAAAUGAUACCGAAACAGAAAGCCAAACUGCAUAGACGGGGACCUCCUGUUUGUUAACCUGGUGCCACAAUGAUGACAAUGGCAUGGCACCAUCUCUAGAGAAAGCAUAAGCCAUUCUGGAAAAUGUUUAAGUAUAUUAUAGCAUAUUCACACGUAAGUGUAACUGAGAUAUUUAAUCCCUAUCACGGAAACCAAACUAAAGGGUUGCCACAUUAGUUUACCUUGAGUUGCUGGUAACUGAACUCAUGCCACAGAAAAAAAUCGCAACACCAACGAUUACUAAGCAAACAAUACCCCCACUUCCAUUGCCAUAUCUUUUCUUGAAUGCUUGAUAAAAUACUUCAGCAAUGGCAUACCCACCAGCAUCAUUAUCUUCAUUCAAAAGGCUAACGAUGUCAGUGACUGCAAAGGUAAUGCCUAGAAUGUAAAACCAUCCAACAACAAUUGUUAUCCCAACGGCGCUGAUGAUUCCUUUCGGUCCAUUUCUAUCAGCAUCUUUGGUUUCCUCUGUCUGCAGAUACAAGUUACAGUAAACAGAAGGACUUAGUCUAGAUCAUUUAGAUUUGUAAAGUCUUAUCUAGCUUUGUCUAACCAUUUAAAUUUUGAGCCCAAUUCAUCAUUUAAAAACCAUAUUAUAAAGUGAGAGGACAUAAGUUAAAUAACAUAAGCUGUCAAGCAUUGUCUUUAGUUAAUGUAGUGCAUGGUUUUUCCCAAAAGGAAGACAGAGAGUAGAAAAAGUUCACCAUAAGAGCUGAUGCAUCAAACCCAGUCAAGGUAUACUGACUCAUUAGAAGUCCGAAAACAAAUAUGUAAGGUCUGCUGCUGAUUCCCUCUCCAUUUUCAGUAUUGAAAUUAGUGAAAACAAACUUGGCACUUGCUCUUUCCGUUGCAACGGAUGGAAUCACAAUCGUAA
rnacentral:lncRNA from 1 species